rnacentral:rRNA from 1 species
UAUCGCAUCGCACCUCCCUGACCCACACCACCUGCAGUUCAGACUAGGGAAUCCACCUGAAGCUAAGCAGGCUUGGGCCUGGCCAGUACUUGGAUGGGAGACCGACUUAAAAAAGGUGGGUUGGUGCUGGAG